rnacentral:snRNA from 1 species
GCUUUGACAGCACAUACUAAAAUUGAAAUGAUACAGAGAAGAUGUCAUCCCCUUGCAAGGAUGACACACACAUUUAUGAAACAAUCCCUAUUUUU